rnacentral:lncRNA from 1 species
ACAGCCUUGCAGUGUUAGCGGUGGUCGUUCCGAAGCCGAGCUGCGGACCGCACGGGAGAGUGGGAGGGCUGCCCUGCGGUCGUGUGUGUUGACUUGACCUCUACUUUGCCCGGCGCGGGCUCUGAAGGAUCGGAGAGGUCCGGGGCUCGCGUGGUCCGGCCAGGCUCGCUCUAACUGGUCUUUCUUGGUCCCUGCUGGGAAGGGACGAUUAAGACUUUUCUGCCUUCCCCAGGCGUAGCAGCUAAUUCAGAGGGCUUACUGUUUUCUGGGUUAAAUACGGUCCUCGAAUUCUCCCCGCUCAACACUUCCAGAGGAUGGGGCGACGCCGGUCCCAAGGCGGAGGAAUCUCCUUGUACCCCCUCAAUUCACCUUUCUCUUUUCUGCUUCCCGUUUAACGGAGACAAGGUGACCAGGCAGAACGCGGGGAACCACUUAGUCGGCUGAGCUGACAGAAUAACGGAGGUUGUCACUACCAGAAGUGCGGUGUGAUAGACUAGACAGUCGCCGCAACCCUCCGUCAGGGCGCCUGCUGCUGCUGCAAAGAUAAUACUAUCGUGCAGCCAUGCUUUUGUUCAUCCCUGCAGCAGACUUCCCGCGCUGGUGGCUCUCCACUCCCAGGAAGAAAACGUCCUUGUCUAAAGUUUUAAUAAUUGUGUAUCUAUGUAUACACAUGUUUUUAAAUCCACAACACUCUCACCUCAUUUUCCAUACCUUUUCAAAUAUUUUUAUAAAGACAUUAAACCAAACAACAUCGUGCCGUUCAAGAAUUGCCCUGCUCUUAACACACCUAAAUAUUUAUUUAAAGGUAAGCAAAAGGUGUGUAGCAGAAUUCUGACCCUUUAGGCAGGUUGUAUUGUUAAUACAUAAUUUUUUCCGUGGCAUUUUUCAUUAUUCAGUGAAUACCAAGUGUCUUUUAAUAUGAAAAGAAUCAAUGCAUUUAGUUACUCGAGUUGUAAAUGUAAAUUUUAAUGGCAUUUGAUGUGUCUCAAUUCCAUAUAAUGAUCAGCUCACACACCCGUUCCACUAGCAAAAUCUCUAGAAGACUGUGCAUCUUGUGAAAAAAAGGUUCACAAUUAAGAUUUCAGACAACUCCCU